rfam:Felis catus isolate Cinnamon breed Abyssinian chromosome B2, whole genome shotgun sequence.
GCCUGGCUGGCUCAGUCAGUAGAGCAUGAGACUCUUGAUCUCAGGGUCAUGAGUUCAAGCCCCAUGUUGGGCA